rnacentral:rRNA from 1 species
GACGAACGCUGGCGGCGUGCUUAACACAUGCAAGUCGAACGGUGAAGCGAGUGCUUGCACUCGUGGAUCAGUGGCGAACGGGUGAGUAACACGUGAGUAACCUGCCCAUCACUCUGGGAUAAGCACUGGAAACGGUGUCUAAUACUGGAUACGACCAACCCUUGCAUGGGGUGUUGGUGGAAAGAUUUAUCGGUGAUGGAUGGACUCGCGGCCUAUCAGCUUGUUGGCGGGGUAAUGGCCCACCAAGGCGACGACGGGUAGCCGGCCUGAGAGGGUGACCGGCCACACUGGGACUGAGACACGGCCCAGACUCCUACGGGAGGCAGCAGUGGGGAAUAUUGCACAAUGGGCGAAAGCCUGAUACAGCGACGCCGCGUGAGGGAUGACGGCCUUCGGGUUGUAAACCUCUUUCAGCAGGGAAGAAGCGAAAGUGACGGUACCUGCAGAAGAAGCACCGGCUAACUACGUG